UACGUAGGUGGCAAGCGUUAUCCGGAAUUACUGGGCGUAAAGCGCACGCAGGCGGUCUUUUAAGUUUGACGUGAAAGCUCCCGGCUUAACUGGGAGAGGUCGUUGAAGACUGGAAGACUUGAGGCAAUGAGAGGGGUGUAGAAUUCCCGGUGUAGUGGUGGAAUGCGUAGAUAUCGGGGGGAAUACCAGUGGCGAAAGCGGCACCCUAGCGUUAGCCUGACGCUCAUGUGCGAAAGCGUGGGGAGCGAACAGG
rnacentral:rRNA from 1 species